UUGAAUUCACUUGGUCGUAACGACUCUGAAUCCAUUCAGCAUCAGUCAACUUGGGACUUCGAGGGUGCUAUUUUUCUUUUGUUUCUUUCUUUCUUUUUCUUUCUUUUGAUUAUUGAUUUCGAUUUCUUUUGAUUUCUUUUGAUUGAUUUUUUUUUGCACCCUCCUCUUUCCAUUUUUUUUCUUUUUUUUUCUUUCAAUGCCCCAGUUGGCUGUUCUGCUGAUUCUCGAGAUGCAGCCGAGUGAUCUUCUUUUCUUGCUCAAGAAGUCGGGAAAUCUUGUCAGGAAUCCCUUCAACAUCCUCUUCUUCCGUUUCGAAUACAGGGAAUUCAAAAUUGGGAGAUGACGUCCGAUCAUUAUGUUCA
rnacentral:lncRNA from 1 species